CGGGGCGGGCCCGCUCAGGCCCCGCCCACCGGCCCCGCGCAGACUCCCAAGAGGCGAGAGGCGGAGCUGGGCGCACCGAGGGCCCGAGGAAAUCAUUAAUGUCAGCAACCUGGUGCAUACCCUUCCAGACCUUUCUGCAUCCCCUGCUUCUGUUCCCCUUUCUCGUCGCACCUUGAAGACUGGUUCGAAGGUUACUGUGGAAAAUCCAAAGGCUUGCUUUCUAGAAGACGAUUGGUUCUUUUGAAAGCAUAUGGGCUUGUGGUGGCUUCUUUCUGUUUGUCACACUCGUUCCAUAAGAAGGGGGCACCGUGGACAACACCAAAAACAGAAAGAGAAGAGAGACAGCAGUAACACUUACAUGGAGUUCUACAGAGCACCCUCAUCACCGGGAGAUGCCGAAAACAUCUCAUUAAGGUUUCAAAGCUGUUAUUAGGUACACACACGUCAUCAUGUCUUCUUGAUAAAUUGGCCCUUUAUCAUUAUGAGAUGACCAUCUUCCCCCCGCCCCCGGCAAUAUUCUCUGCUCUGGAAUCUAUUUUAUUUGAUGUUAACCCAGCUGCCCAGCUUUCUCUUGAACAUCGUUUGGACGGUGCAUCUUUUCCACGCCCUCACUUUCAACCCAUUCGCCACUUGAUAUUUAAGGCGGACUUGCUGUAUUGUGUAUGUAGUUGGAUCUUGGGUUUUUCUAACGUAAUCAUUUCUGCCUCUUAAUCGAGUUGUUUAGACAGUUUGCAUUUUCUGUAAUGACUGACAGGGUUGGGUCGAAAUCUACCAUCUACCAUCCUUUGUUGGCUCACUUACUCUCUUUGCCGUUGAGUACGUUUUAAAGAAAUGUAAGUGACAACUCCGGAGGGUUCUUCAUAUUUACCCCCAACAUCCUCACGGUUGGCGGGUGGCGCACCCCAUUCCUUUGUGCAGACGCGGAUUCCCAUCUGCUCACACUUCCUUCCUUCUCCCCAGAGCCCUUCCUCCGUGGUUCCCUCCAGUGCUGGUUUGCUGCUGACGAAUUCUUUCCGUUUUUUUACCUUCAAUAAAGUUUG